CGGCUCAGUAACACGUAAUCAACCUACCCUAUGGACGAGAAUAAUCUCGGGAAACUGAGCAUAAUUCUCGAUAGAUCAUAAUGCCUGGAAUGGUUUAUGGUUAAAAUGAUUCGUCGCCAUAGGAUGGGACUGCGGCCUAUCAGCUUGUUGGUGAGGUAAUGGCCCACCAAGGCGAUUACAGGUACGGGCUCUGAGAGGAGAAGCCCGGAGAUGGGUACUGAGACAAGGACCCAGGCCCUAUGGGGCGCAGCAGGCGAAAAAACUUUGCAAUGUGCGAAAGCACGACAAGGUUAAUCCGAGUGAUUUCUGCUAAAGAAAUCUUUUGUUAGUCAUAAAACCACUGAUGAAUAAGGGGUGGGCAAGUUCUGGUGUCAGCCGCCGCGGUAAAACCAGCACCUCAAGUGGUCAGGAUGAUUAUUGGGCCUAAAGCAUCCGUAGCCGGCUCUGUUAGUUUUCGGUUAAAUCCAUGUGCUCAACACAUGGGCUGCCGAAAAUACUGCAGUGCUAGGGAGUGGGAGAGGUAGACGGUACUCAGUAGGAAGGGGUAAAAUCCUUUGAUCUAUUGAUGACCGCCUGUGGCGAAGGCGGUCUACCAGAACACGUUCGACGGUGAGGGAUGAAAGCUGGGGGAGCAAACCGGAUUAGAUACCCGGGUAGUCCCAGCUGUAAACGAUGCAGACUCGAUGAUGCAUUGGCAUAUAGCCAGUGCAGUGUCGCAGGGAAGCCGUUAAGUCUGCCGCCUGGGAAGUACGUACGCAAGUAUGAAACUUAAAGGAAUUGGCGGGGGAGCACCACAAGGGGUGAAGCCUGCGGUUCAAUUGGAGUCAACGCCAGAAAUCUUACCCGGAGAGACAGCAGAAUGAAGGUCAAGCUGAAGACCUUACCAGACAAGCUGAGAGGUGGUGCAUGGCCGUCGCCAGCUCGUGCCGUGAGAUGUCCUGUUAAGUCAGGUAACGAGCGAGAUCCCUGCCACUAGUUGCUAUCAUUAUUCUGGGAAUAGUGGGGCGAAUUAGUGGGACUGCCGUUGUUAAAACGGAGGA
rnacentral:rRNA from 1 species